GACGAACGCUGGCGGCGUGCUUAACACAUGCAAGUCGAACGGAAAGGCCCUGCUUUUGUGGGGUGCUCGAGUGGCGAACGGGUGAGUAACACGUGAGUAACCUGCCCUUGACUUUGGGAUAACUUCAGGAAACUGGGGCUAAUACCGGAUAGGAGCUCCUGCUGCAUGGUGGGGGUUGGAAAGUUUCGGCGGUUGGGGAUGGACUCGCGGCUUAUCAGCUUGUUGGUGGGGUAGUGGCUUACCAAGGCUUUGACGGGUAGCCGGCCUGAGAGGGUGACCGGCCACAUUGGGACUGAGAUGCGGCCCAGACUCCUACGGGAGGCAGCGGUGGGGAAUAUUGCACAAUGGGCGGAAGCCUGAUGCAGCAACGCCGCGUGCGGGAUGACGGCCUUCGGGUUGUAAACCGCUUUCGCCUGUGACGAAGCGUGAGUGACGGUAAUGGGUAAAGAAGCACCGGCUAACUACGUG
rnacentral:rRNA from 1 species